rnacentral:lncRNA from 1 species
GAAAGCUUCUUUGGUAGGUGAGGUUGUGAAUGUUAGUGAGAUUGUCGAGAAUCUUAUUGAGGAUAUUGUGUAUAAGAUGAUAUUGGGUAGAGGUAAGUAUGAGCAAUUUGACUUGAAGAAGAUGAUUAAAGAUGGAUUAACUUUGAUGGGAGCUUUUAAUCUGGCUGAUUAUGUUCCUUGGCUAGGCAUUUUUGACCUUCAGGUACAUUUGUACUAUUUAUUACUACUAUCUCGUUAAAUAUAAGAUCAUUUUGUGUUUUUUCUGUCGCUUUUUAUAAGAACCCUUUCAAAUUUUAAUGUAGAUUAAUUAUUUCUUUAUCAAUAUAUCCUUAUUUAUGUUGCAUAUUUUUAUACAAUAUAUAAUAAAUAUUCUACGAAAACAUCAGCUAAUUUCUUUCAUAAAGGAUAAAUAUGUAAAACAAUAUAAAUUGUAAACAAAAUUAAUUCAACAAUUAAUUUUCUUAAUUCCUGUGUUUUUCACGAAAUGGUUCUAUAAUUAAGGACGGAGGUAGUAUUUAUAAGAAAGAAAGAUAUUGAAUAUUAACAUACAUUUAUUUUAGUCUGAUGAUUUUGGCUUGGGAUCCGGGAGUAUGCACCUCCUCGAGGUCUCAGGUUCGACUCUCUCUGAUGCCAAUUUAAGUGGGUUAAUUUAACUUCUUCAAAAAAACAUAUGUUUAUUUUUAACACACUUAGAUUGGCCUGAUGGUAUUGGCUUGAGAUCCGGAAGUGUGCUGUUUCAUAAAUAGAGUGUUCUUCAAAACAAAACAAAAAACUCAUAAAUAGAGUGAUUGAGUGAUUUUGGUCACUCAAUAUUUAAUAGUUCGGUAUUGGUCCUUUAGUGUUUUUCCCUCUAUGGCUUUAAAAGGGUUACCUGAUUUUAUCUCAAUUGCCCUUCACUUUUAUAUAUGAAAUUGGAAACUGGGUCAAAUUUCACAAUAUCAAAAUAUUUUAGGUACUAGAAGUAAGAGAAAUUUGAAAACAAGUUAGAUAAUCCCUUUACUAUACACAAGGGAAAAUUGAAUUAACUCUACAAAAAAAAUGAGUUAACUCUUAAAUAUUUUCCAUUCGGUUAAAUAUUUCAGUUAUCCAUUUCAUCCUCAAUUUACUUAUGUUUUUACGGUUUUGUUAAUAACAACAAUCAAGUCUUAUCCGACUGAGUAAGAUCAACUAUAUAGAUCAAAUUACCCCAUAAUAGGUUAUCAUAAACGUGGGUUUGUUAAGUUCAAUGAAAAUAUUCAUGUAGUAACUGAUAUUAUUAGUUAACUUUUUGAUAGGGAUUAACACAAGCUUGCAAAAAAACCAGUAAAGCUCUUGAUGAAGUUUUGGAGAUGAUAAUAACAGAGCAUGAACAAACUACUAAUACAGACGAUCCUAAAGAUUUUGUAGACACAGUUCUUUCAAUUAUGCACCAAACCAUUGAUGUUGAGGGUGGACAAGAUCUCGUCAUUGAUCGAACGAUCAUCAAGGCUAUUUUGCUCGACAUGAUAGGGGCAUCAAUUGAUACAUCUUCAAACGUGAUAGAGUGGGCUUUAUCUGAACUUUUAAGGCAUCCAAGAGUGAUGAAAAUUCUUCAAGAUGAAAUACAAAAUGAAGUAGGAAAUAAGAGAAUGGUUGAAGAAAAGGAUUUGAAGAAUUUUAAUUACCUAGAUAUGGUGGUUGAUGAAACCUUAAGACUUUAUCCUGUUGCACCUUUAUUAAUCCCUCGUGAAUGUAGAGAGAACAUAACAAUUGAUGAUUAUUCUAUAAAAGAAAAGACACGAGUUAUAGUAAAUGCAUGGGCAAUUGGGAGAGAUCCUGAUGUUUGGUCAGAAAAUGCUGAAGAAUUUUACCCAGAGAGAUUUAUUGAGAAAAAAAUGAAUUAUCUCGGACAAGAGUUUGAAUCUAUACCAUUUGGUUCUGGUCGUAGACGUUGUCCUGGAAUUCAAUUGGGUAUGAUUACGGUUAAGUUGGUUAUAGCUCAAUUCGUGCAUUGCUUUAACUGGGAACUUCCACAUAAUAUUAGUCCUUCCAAUUUGAAUAUGGAGGAGAAAUUUGGACUCACUAUACCAAGAGCUCAGCAUUUGCACGCAAUACCAAGUUAUCGUUUGGAUGAUGCUAAGCUUGAAUAGUUCCAAGAAUAAUUACUAUGUUCGUGUUCAUCAAGUAUAUAAUUGGUAAAGAUGCUUAGGAGGUCUAUUAAUGAUGUUUUAAUGUAUAUUGCUUGUUCUUUAUAUAUGUUUGAUAGCCAACAUUUGAGUCUUCAUUGGGACAUGGAGGUCAAUAAAAUCACAUACCUUCAUGAUCAAUGGUAUGGUGCAAGUCUAUAGUACAAAUCUCCUUCAUCUCUACCCUAUCUCUUUCUUUUACUCAGUAUUUGUUUCAAUUCUCUGUUAUUAUUAUUACUAGGGUUGUUCGCGGUGCGGUUUGGUUCGGUUUCAAGCAUAAUAAUAAUCCAAACCGCGAGAGAAAAAAGCAUGCGGUUUGGUUUGGUUCGGUUGUUUUUUAAAAAGUCAUCCAAACCAAACCAAUGCGGUUUGGAUUGGUUCAGUUGAUGCGGUUAAUCACGAGAUAAAUAAAAAAAUUACAUUAACUUAAUAUUGCCAACUAGUACCAAGCAAUUUUAAUUAUUCAAAAAAAGAAUUUGAAGUUCCAAAAUAGCAUUACAAUACCAAUAAAAGUUAUUUAUCUAAAAUAACAUUACAGAACCAAAAUAAUAGCUGGAUAGUGUUGGGCUUGGACUUGGGUUCACUUUGGUAUUGGGCUAGUACAAUACUUACUUAGUUUAAUAACAUUGAGUAUUUUUGCGGUUUGGUUUGGUUUGGUUCGGUUGCUGAGAUGUAAACCGCAAACCGAACCGAACCGCGCGGUUCAGUCUAAAAAUCAUCCGAACUCAUCCGAACCAAGUGCGGUUUUUUGCGGUUUCAGUUUGGGUUGGUUCGGUUUGCGGUUUUUCUAUUGGGUUGGUUCGGUUUUGAACACCCCUAAUUAUUACUGAUUUUAAAAUUGGUAUGGCACACUUUAGAAAUGAGGUAGACCUGAAGUUCUAAAGUUUUUUUAACACAACAUAUCACACAUGACAACUUAAUAACUAGAAUACUGCUCCAUUAAGAUUGGAGAACAACAUAUAAAAGAUGUAAAUACUUAUUAUUCCUCUAUGGUUUUCCACAAUGUACAUGUAUAAUAUACUGCACAUUAACUAUUAUUUGAUUCAAAAAGUAUUAAAGUAUGUUUAUAUUUUUAUUUGUAUUAUGUAUUGAUAUCAAAAUAAUGAAUAUCAUUCAAAAAAAAAAAAAAAAUCAAAAUAAUGAAUAUGGGUGGCAUUUAGGGUGGGAAGGGGAAAGAUUUUCCCACCAUAGGUCAGUUGACAUUUUACCGUUAAAUUAAAAAGGAAUACUGAUUUUAUUAUGGACUGUCUACACCCUAUCUUUUCCCACCCACCUUUCUCUCUCCUCCUUGCUCUCCACCACCCGCAACAUCACCUACAGCCACUAUCACCACCGGUUCCUUCCAUUCUCGUCCAAAGCAAGCUUCAGAUCCGACGCACCUAGCUCAAUCUCUCUUUUCCAGUUUCUCUUAAUCAUUCAAUCGCCCCAUUUAUAUCCCCCCUUCGUAAAAAAUUCCAUGAUGUGAUAAUCCAAAUAUGGGCUAUAAUAUUACUGUAAUAUUUAUUGUUUGCUACUUAAUUUUAGUUCAAUGGGUCACUACAUAUAUAUUAAUUAUCGAUUCUUACAGGUUUGAUUGAAGCCUAUGAAGAUUGAUUUUUAACUUUUUUUAGAUUGCAACUCAUGAAGAUUGAUUUUGAUAAUUGGUUCCAUAAAAAGCAUGUUUCUUAAUUGUAAGCACGUGAAGAUUUUUGGGUUGUAGUUUCAUGGUGGCUGGUGGUGGUGGGUGAGUGGGGGUAUGGAGGAGAGAGAAGAAUGGUGAGGUGAGUGAGGUUGGAGACAGAUUGAAAAAAUAUAGUGUGGGUAGACCAUAGUAUGAUUAGUGUUCCUAUUUGAUCUAAUGGUCAAAAUCAACUUUUUUAUGGUAGGAAACUCUUUCCCUUACCCACCCUAAAUGCCACCAUGAAUAUGAGAGAGUUUUGUGUAACUUUUUUGCAUGUGUUGUUUUCUGACUCUAGAUUUGGAUAACAAAACAAUCAAGUCUUUUGUUCUCUUUCUCUAUUAUAGAUCUACUUUCUCUCUCUCUCUAUGAUUCCCGUGCUAUACUAGAUCUGACAACUGAACUCUUGCGACUCAAUAAUUUCUUUCUUCAAUAUGAACUUUAAGACCAAAUUUAGUUUCUAAAUCUUAAAAAAUUUAAUCAUAAACAAUAACAUUUUAGUACAUAAAUUAAUUUCCAAAACCUGAUCUUUCUCCUGUAGACCAAAUAUAUUGUCUAUCCUGUUUCAUGUUUGUAAAUUGUAACAAGUUAAUUUUUUUUUUUUUAAGUUGUAACAUUCUAGUCAAAUACCUCACUGGAUCUUCUAAGUUUUACGUUUGUUUCAGAUAGGUCCUUUAAGUUUUUAAGGUUUUAGAUAUGUCAUUUAAGUUUCGAGUUUGUUUCAGAUAUGUCUUUUAAGUUUCUAAGGUUUCAGAUAGGUCCUUUAAAUUUCGAAUUUAUUUCAGAUAGAUCAUUUCUAUCGAAUCAACUUUAAAAAAUUAACUUAUUAUAAACAACCAACUUAAAAAUCGCUAGAAGUAUUUGACCUUUCCAUAACCAAAAUCUAAAAAACAAAUGUGGUAUUUUUCCUAUAAGACCACUUUCAAAAUCACUCAUGCUGCUGUAUUACUCGAGAUAAGAUUUAAAUUGCAAAUGUAAAUAUUAAAAAGAGGGUUAAUUAAAUUUUUAGUCCCUUUUUUUUUUUUAAAAAAAAAAAAGAAUUUUUAGUCUCUAUAAAUAUUCACAGUUUUGUUUUUAGUCUAUACAAAAUAAAAUCACACUUUUUAGUCAAUGUGACAUUUUAAGGACUAAAAAUGCUGAUGAAAUUUUUUUAUAUAGACGAAAAAUGCUAAUGAAAAAUUUUAUAGAGACUAAAAAUAUUGAUGGAAAAUUUUAUAGGGACUAAAAAAUGUGAUUUUACUUUGUAGGGACUAAAAACAAAAUUAUGAAUAUUUAUAAGGACCAUUUACUUAUUAACCCUUAAAAAGAUGAAUGUUAUUUGAACAACCGUUUGGUUGACAACUUUUGGAACAACUAUAAUUUACAAAGAAAAAGUAGGUAUGUGAACGAAAACCAUAGUAGAAAGAUAAAGUAAAGAAUAACGUAAGUAUGAUUGAGAAAGUUGUCAAAAAAAUUAUUAAAAAAUGGAUGUUCUAAUAUCAUUCCUCUAUUAAAAAACGUUACUAUUUGAUCACAUUAUUAGUAAGUUAUCUUGCUCAGCUAGUAAAUUAUUAUACCGAUGGAGUUUUCACGGUGAAUCAAAUUACACAGUGCUUUGAAAACGAGGAGGAUAACAUCCUUCUUUUACUUUUUAAAUUGACAAGCAUGCACAACGAGAUGGAUAAAAGAAUAUUAAAAUAAUGGUAAAUCAUAUCCAACGUGUGCAUGUACAUUGUCGGUUGUAACAAAUCGACGUUCAUAAAAUGUACGUGCAUAGUUGAUCAUUUAAAAAAAAAAAAAUAUUUGAAUGAUGUUUUUCAUAUUUGCAAUUAGGUGUCAUUUAAAAAUUAGUUCAUAUAAUUGCUAAUCCUGACAAUUUACAUUUGCAUUAUUUAAUCAUUUAAAAUUUUAUCUUUUGACCAACUUAAUCACAAAUUAGCAAAAUGAUACGGAAAUGGACAAAUAUACCCUCGUCGUUAUUAUGAGAAGAAGACUAAGACAAGGGUAGAAAUACAUAAAUAUCUCCAUAAAUAUCUCACUAGCUAGAUAUACAAACCAAACACGUACACCACCGGUUUCAAGAUAAUCUGAGAUUAACUUGGAGUUCUAUAUAGUCUUCAACCUUGUUACGUACUUCAGCCAAACCAAAGCAUUCAUUGUAGACAUGUCUUUUGCACUAACAACAACAAUGUUUGCUUUUCUUCUCUUCACUUUCAUGUACUUUCUAUUCAAACUCUACUUACAUCCAAAACAAAAAACCCUAAACCAUAAAAAACCACCAGGUCCAUCAACACUACCAAUAAUUGGAAAUCUUCACAUAUUAGGCAAACUUCCACAUAGAACACUUCAAUCACUCUCCAAAAAAUAUGGUCCAAUCAUGUCCUUACAACUUGGUCAAGUUCCAACUAUUAUCAUUUCAUCUUCAAAAGCUGCAGAAUCAUUCCUCAAAACUCAUGACAUCGUUUUUGCAAGUCGACCAAAGGUUCAAGGAUCAGAUCUCAUGUCUUAUGGUUCCAAAGGGAUGGCUUUUUCUGAGUAUGGUCCUUAUUGGCGUAGUGUGAGGAAAUUUUGCACUUUGAAACUUUUUAGUGCUUCAAAAGUUGAGAUGUUUGGUCCUAUUAGGAAGGAGAAGUUGGAUGUUUUGGUUAUAUCUUUGGAGAAAGCUGCCUUGGAGGGUGAGGUUGUGAAUGUUAGUGAGGUUGUAGAGAAUCUUAUUGAGGAUAUUGUGUAUAAGAUGAUGUUUGGUCGGAGUAAGUAUGAGCAAUUUGACAUGAAUAAGUUAGUUCUAGAAGCAAUGGCUUUGAUGGGAGCUUUUAAUCUGGCUGAUUAUGUACCUUGGCUAGGCGUUUUUGACCUUCAGGUACGUCUUGACAAUUUCAUAUUAAAAAUUCUAAUUAAUUUUAUGAGAUUAUUUGAUUAUAUGGAAAAGAGGUUAACAUUGGCGC